rnacentral:rRNA from 1 species
UACAGAGGGGGCAAGCGUUGUUCGGAAUUACUGGGCGUAAAGGGCUCGUAGGCGGCCAACUAAGUCAGACGUGAAAUCCCUCGGCUUAACCGGGGAACUGCGUCUGAUACUGGAUGGCUUGAAUUCGGGGAGAGGGAUGCAGAAUUCCAGGUGUAGCGGUGAAAUGCGUAGAUAUCUGGAGGAAUACCGGUGGCGAAAGGCGGCAUCCUGGACCGACAUUGACGCUGAUGAGCGAAAGCUAGGGGAGCAAACGGG